GCCGUUGGCUCCGUUGGCAGAGCACAAGACUCUUAAUCUCUGGGUUGCGGGUUCAAGCACCACAUUGGGCA